rnacentral:rRNA from 1 species
AGAGUUUGAUCAUGGCUCAGGAUGAACGCUAGCGGCAGGCUUAACACAUGCAAGUCGAGGGGUAUAGUUCUUCGGAACUAGAGACCGGCGCACGGGUGCGUAACGCGUAUGCAAUCUACCUUUUACAGAGGGAUAGCCCAGAGAAAUUUGGAUUAAUACCUCAUAGUAUGCAGAGUUGGCAUCAACACUGUAUUAAAGUCACAACGGUAAAAGAUGAGCAUGCGUCCCAUUAGCUAGUUGGUAAGGUAACGGCUUACCAAGGCGACGAUGGGUAGGGGUCCUGAGAGGGAGAUCCCCCACACUGGUACUGAGACACGGACCAGACUCCUACGGGAGGCAGCAGUGAGGAAUAUUGGUCAAUGGACGCAAGUCUGAACCAGCCAUGCCGCGUGCAGGAUGACGGUCCUAUGGAUUGUAAACUGCUUUUGUACGAGAAGAAACCCUCCAACGUGUUGGAGCUUGACGGUAUCGUAAGAAUAAGGAUCGGCUAACUCCGUGCCAGCAGCCGCGGUGAUACGGAGGAUCCAAGCGUUAUCCGGAAUCAUUGGGUUUAAAUGGUCCGUAGGCGGUUUAGUAAGUCAGUGGUGAAAGCCCAUCGCUCAACGGUGGAACGGCCAUUGAUACUGCUAGACUUGAAUUAUUAGGAAGUAACUAGAAUAUGUAGUGUAGCGGUGAAAUGCUUAGAGAUUACAUGGAAUACCAAUUGCGAAGGCAGGUUACUACUAAUGGAUUGACGCUGAUGGACGAAAGCGUGGGUAGCGAACAGGAUUAGAUACCCUGGUAGUCCACGCCGUAAACGAUGGAUACUAGCUGUUGGGAGCGAUCUCAGUGGCUAAGCGAAGUGAUAAGUAUCCC